CCUACGGUGGGCAGCAGUGAGGAAUAUUGGUCAAUGGCCGAGAGUCUGAACCAGCCAAGUCGCGUGAAGGAAGACUGCCCUACGGGUUGUAAACCUCUUUUGUCGGGGAGCAAAGCGAGUCACGUGUGCCUCCUUGAGAGUACCCUAAGAAUAAGCAUCGGCUAACUCCGUGCCAGCAGCCGCGGUAAUACGGAGGAUGCGAGCGUUAUCCGGAUUUAUUGGGGUUAAAGGGUGCGCAGGCGGAGGUGCAAGUCAGCGGUCAAAUUUCGGGGCUCAACCCCGGACUGCCGUUGAAACUGGAGCCCUUGAGUGCGCGAGAAGUAGGCGGAAUGCGUGGUGUAGCGGUGAAAUGCAUAGAUAUCACGAAGAACUCCGAUUGCGAAGGCAGCAUACUGGAGCGCAACUGACGCUGAUGCACGAAAGCGUGGGUAUCGAACAGGAUUAGAUACCCUAGUAGUC
rnacentral:rRNA from 1 species